GACGAACGCUGGCGGCGUGCUUAACACAUGCAAGUCGAACGGAAAGGCCCUGCUUUUGUGGGAUGCUCGAGUGGCGAACGGGUGAGUAACACGUGAGUAACCUGCCCUUUACUUUGGGAUACCUUCAUUAAACUGGGGCUAAUACCGGAUAUGAGCUCCUUCUGCAUGGUGGGUGUUGUAAAGUUUCGGCGGUUGGUGAUGGACUCGCGGCUUAUCAUCUUGUUGGUGGGGUAGUGGCUUACCAAGGCUUUGACGGGUAGCCGGCCUGAGAGGGUGACCGGCCACAUUGGGACUGAGAUACGGCCAAGAGUCCUACGGGAGGAAGCAGUGGGGAAUAUUGCAAGAUGGGCGGAAGCCUGAUGCAGCAACGCCGCGUGCGGGAUGACGGCCUUCGGGGUGUAAACCGCUUUCGCCUGUGAAGAAGAGUGAGUGACGGUAAUGGGUAAAGAAGCAACGGCUAACUACGUG
rnacentral:rRNA from 1 species